UCCAGAUGGCACGAUACAAUUAUUAUCCUUCGGCGCUCCACCGCCUAUAGGCGUACAUAAAAAGGCUCUCCUUCUGGUUCAUCUCAUUUCCAUCGGGCCACCUACAGCCGUGCCGCCGGAUCCCUGCCGCCUCCGGCGACCCUCAACCAUCACGUCACGGCCUUGCAGCUCACCCCACCGCCGGAGACGCACUGCCCCAACCCACCUUCCACCAGCGGUCGAGUUGUGGUUGCCCAUCUUCUCCUCACCACGCUCCGCCUCGGCCGCCUCGCCACAUCAGGGUCAUCAACGUCGGCGUCGUGGCGAUCAGCACUGCACGGACUUCUCCAGCACCCCCGUGACGUGGUGGGCAACAUGCGCGCGCUGGCCAGCGGGGGAGUUGCCCUUCACGCAUGGCUGCCGGAUCCCUCGUUGAGCCGCAUCCAGAGCUUCCUCGGCCGUUCCCCGCGGCGGUGCCGGCAGCCACCACAGCGGACGGGGCACAGUUUCCCCCACCUCGCCAUCGCCAUGGACGGCACAACUGUGACCCCCGGUGGCCGGUCUCCCCUCCGGUGAGCAGAGGAUCACCACCACAACUGAGCCAUCUUCUGAAGAGACGAAUCAACGGCAGCGGACCACCACACCGGACCAGAACCAGAACGGAAAGAAAAGGAGGCCGUGAAGGAGGUUGAAGAGAGGAAGGCUAGGUGCCUCACAGCCCAGGUCAACGCCGGGAAGAAGAGGAGACGCGAACAAGUGGAGGAAAGGAGAGGUCCUCGCCAUCAAGAUUCAUUUUGCUGAACAGGUUCAAGUGGCUUCGCGACAAGGUUUGAAAACAUGCUUCAGGGUGACCAUGGGAUGCCCACAGGAGAGUUAACUUUGUUAAAUACACUAUCAGUAGAAGAAGCACAAACAGCCCUCCACAAAAACUUCUACAGUUUUGUGUCUACAUCGCAGUACAAAAGACGGCUAGCAAUGAGCUAUCAUGUCGAACAAGCAAAGCUCAGUUGGUGAUGCACUCGCCUGUAGAAAGUACGACCAAGGAAAAGCAAUAAUCAAAGGUGCAUUAAACUACUCCCUCCGUCCCAAAAUUCUUGUCUUAGAUUUGUCUAAAUACGGAUGUAUCAAGUCACGUUUUAGUAUUAGAUACACCCGUAUCUAGACAAAUUUAAGACAAGAAUUUUGGGACGGAGGAAGUAACAUACUUACCACUGCAAUAAGAGAAAUAUUUCUUCCGAAGGCUUUUUCUUUUGUCCUCUGUUAGAGGUGUUGCUUUUAAAGAAAUUUGCUACUGUAUUUGCUUAUGCGGGAUGUUUGAUUAGCCAAAUAUUUCUACUUUUUGGCCUCUGCUAAGGGAUCUAUAUCGUUCGAGGACUCUAGACAAAUUUUAAUGUGAUUUUGUGUUUUCAAUUUGUACUACACAAGUUGAGUAAAGUAGAUGUGAUUUGUGUUUUCAAUUUGUUCUACACAGGUUGACUGAAGUAGAUGUUCUACCUGAAGUUGCAUGAAAACAUCUUAGGUACUCCCUCCGUUCGGAAUUACUUGUCGCAGAAAUGGAUGUAUGUAGAUGUAUUUUAGUUCUAGAUACAUCCAUUUCCGAGACAAGUAAUUCCGAACGGAGGGAGUAGUAAUUUUUGCCUUCAUGAAGCUAAACAAACAUUUCCACCUUUUUGUCGAAUAGCAAAAUUUUAAGCCGUGGUUAUGUAUUCGAAAGAUAUAGAUAUCAUUAUUUGCAACAUUCUUUUUACUUUCAGUGGCUAAA